UCUCAUCGUCCACCUGCUUCGUCCUUAUUUCCAAGUACUUCUCCAUCAUUGCAGCCACAUCACCAUUCGCCCCCCUCCUUCUCUUUGGUUCUUUCUCUUCUCCAUUUCUUGAGGGUGCAGUAGCCAAAUUUGGUUGAGUUUGCUCGGGCUCCACAACAAUGUUUUCUUGCACGUAAACCUCCUCAACAUCUUCAUUGAUCUGCACCCUUUCUCCUCCAAGAUUCUCACCAUCAGCUGAUGUUUCUCCUUGAUUCUUGCCAGCUCCUCCAAGAUUCUCGAGAUCUGAUUGGGUUGAGCAAUGUGAUGACUCGAUAGAGGUGAAGUUAUAUGUCCCUUAUGCAGUUUGGCCUACAAGUUAAAGUGACAAUCAAAUAUAAGAUUUCAAACUAGAAGAGUAAACAAACAUAAAACAAUGACAUGAGUAUAUGAAUGAAGUUGAUAACUAACCAUCAUGCAAUUCUCCCAAAGCUUCAAAAAGAGGGAAGCCUUUUGUCUUGAACUUUCCAGCUUUAGGGUGUGACUACAUAGUUGACAAGAAAAUGAUAUUAGAGCAUGCAAAAAGUAAUGAAACUUUUAGGGAAUAACAAUGACAUUCUUACUAUGAUGAUGUCUUUCCAAAGUGGUGGAUCCGCUAGAAUCCUGCACUGUCGGUCGUCCCAUGAAACGCUGCUUUGCUUCCUUAUCUCUUUGAUCAUCUUGUAUUCUCUUUUCAACUCUUUUUCCUUUUCUUGGAUUUUCUUAUUCUCGUACCUAGCAUAAGGAUUCUUUUGGUGGAAUUUCUUCACUAUCGUAUUCCAUGCUUCUGAGCUCCAUCCAUUUUGACCCUUAUGUUCAGGUGUAUCAUGCUCACGAAGCAAGUCCACAAGAUCUUUCUCAAGGCUUGCAUUCCACUGUGCUCUAUCUUCUGCAUUUCCACAUUAUCGGAUGAUGUCAUGUAAGAUUGCCACCGCUGCUGGUAGCUUGACUUGGUUCUCUAUUCGAUGAUGCGUGCCCACUUUUAGGAUUGGGAACCGCUUCUUCAAGAUUCCUAAUCCCCGUUCGACGUGAUUUCGUAACACGGCAUGCCGGAGAUUGAAUAGCUCCCUGUGAUUUUGGGGUCGACGGCGACCGCGUGCAAACUCCUUCAGAUGGUACCGAACACCACGAUACGGUGCCAAGAAGUAAGGUGUGUUGGCAUAACCACCAUCAACCAGAUAAAACUUGCCCGGAGGUACAUGAAACCCACUAUUAAGUGGUGACCGGAGAACUUUAGCAUCGGUAGCAGAUCCCUCCCAGCCACAAGAAAUGAAGGUGAAGUUCAGGUCGAAGUCGCACACGACCAUAACAUUAUGGCUUAGGGUCCCUUUCCUAUUUCUGAAUGGUGCGGCUUUUUCUCCUGAAAUUGUUAUGGGAACAUGUGUCCCAUCAAUUGCCCCAAUGCAGUUCUGCAACGAAAUACUAUAACUUAGCACCUAUAACAUGAAGAGUAAGUUAUCGAUGUGGAUCAAAGUUGGCGAAGCAAAAACCUGAAAAUAAGGAAAGAAUCUCGUGUCCGACUGAAUCUUCGGAUGCACUUGACUGGGAUUUGGAGGCUUCAAAAAAUGCUUGGAGAGAAUAGGGAUGAUGUCAAAGAAAUUCUUCAUUUGCGAAUGGAAAGUAUCCCCGCUGUGACCAAACCGAACUUGAAGGUCUUCAAAUGAAGAAUUAUGGGAUAACAUCCACAGAAAUGAUGCUAGUUUCUCUUCGACUUUAAUUCUGGUAUCUUUCACCAACUUCUCCCUUCGAAGAUAAUUAGCCAAAGAUUUGAAGAUACGCGGCUCCAUCCUAAAUGCUACCCGACAGUUUUUGACAUGCCCUUCGAGUAACUCCUUAACAAACAUCUCGCCUGUUAGCGAUGAUGUAUGACGCGGAAUCCUCCGCUCCCUAAGAGCAACUCCAUCGGUCUCUAUCAAAUGUAGUGUAGGGAAAACAAAUAACAUCAUUUUGUCAUCCUCCUCCUCCCUCUUCCUAACACGAUCCCUCAUUUCAGGAUCCAUUCCAAGUCUAAAGAAGAAAAAUGUGGCUAGUUAUUACUACUACACCAAAACAGUAAGAGUGCAAGUUGUACAAACAAACAGUUUACCAAAAAAACAACUGCAAUAAGAGCUAAAAUUCUUCAACAACUACAAUGUCUAGUAAUGUAAGAUAUUAAUGUAGCUCUCAGCUUACCAAAAAAACACUUUGUAACACAGAUCUAUCGACCAAGCAAUAAUAACCAACAAUACAUGAAUAAGGAGAAGAUUAAAACAAGAGGAUUAAUCUACCUUGUCCUUCACGAUGCUGCCCAAUUCAGGGUCUUGCUGUAGCUGUGAGGCGGUGAAGCUAGCUUAUAUCUGGCAUCAUCAAAAUAUCUGGCAUUGGAACAUCAUCUAAUAAAAAGGACAACACUAGAAAAAAGGACAACUGCAAUGUGUACCAAUGAAGAACAGAUGAUGAUCACACACCAUGAAGAGAACAAUUAUAUAAUCUACCAAUGAUCAUACCCGAAGUAUCUUUUGUUCGGACAUAAAAAAUCUUUGGAAGUAUGUGCUCUGCUGCUAACAGAGAUUAGGUUCACAUACUUCAUUUUGGGACGAACAUCAUACUGUACUAUCAGCAGCCAGCAACAAAAACAACAUGCAUUGUUGUUCCUCCAGAUUAGAUAGUCCUUCUUUAUACCAAGAGAUACACUAACAAUUAUACUACUACUACAAUAGUUAUGUUGAGAAAAAUAAAACAAAUCCAAAUUACUAACACCAAAUCGUACUGCUGACUCCAUUUACUAACACAAAAUUGUACUGCUGACUCCAGUACAAAUUACUAACAACGGGAAGACAGAUCUUGACGACCACAUUCGGGAAGACAAAUCA